UACGAAGGGUGCAAGCGUUAAUCGGAAUUACUGGGCGUAAAGCGCGCGUAGGCGGUUUGAUAAGUUGGAUGUGAAAGCCCCGGGCUCAACCUGGGAAUUGCAUCCAAGACUGUCAGGCUAGAGUACGGGAGAGGGGGGUAGAAUUCCGACGUGUAGCGGUGAAAUGCGUAGAGAUGUGGAGGAAUACCGGUGGCGAAGGCGGCCCCCUGGAUCGGAUACUGACGCUGAGGUGCGAAAGCGUGGGGAGCAAACAGG
rnacentral:rRNA from 1 species